GUGAAACACCGGUUCCCGUAUGAUCAUCAAAGUUAAGCAACGUCGAGCGUCGUCAGUACCUAGAUGGGUGACCGUUGGGAAUACCAGCUGCUGUAA